rnacentral:rRNA from 1 species
UACAGAGGGGGCAAGCGUUGUUCGGAAUUACUGGGCGUAAAGGGCGCGUAGGCGGCCUUCUAAGUCGAACGUGAAAUCCCUGGGCUCAACCCAGGAACGGCGUCCGAUACUGGAUGGCUUGAGUUUGGGAGAGGGAUGCGGAAUUCCAGGUGUAGCGGUGAAAUGCGUAGAUAUCUGGAGGAACACCGGUGGCGAAGGCGGCAUCCUGGACCAAAACUGACGCUGAAUAGCGAAAGCCAGGGGAGCAAACGGG